AAGUCUCAACCUUACUUGCUUUACCUAUAAGCUAGUCUGGCUUGGAUCUAUGGAAGUUUGCUAGUUAUUAACAAAUUAGCUCUUCUCAAUAUCAUUAGCAAAUUUACUGCUAAGCUCUUUGAUAUGAUAAUUAUCAAUGUCAUAGAGAUUAUGCAUAUUAAUUUUGCUUACAAUUGUCUCUUAUGAGACUAUUUACUAUUUGACA
rnacentral:misc_RNA from 1 species